GUUAUGGAGCAGGUGGGGCUGGCAGUCUGGGUGCAGGAGGUGCUGGAGGAGCAGCUCUGGUCCCUGGGUCUGGUGGUGCCGGUGAUGUAGGAGCUGGAACCCCCAAACCAGGAAAAAGUAAGCCAUGACUGCAAACCAGAUAAACCAAACAAGACUUCUGGUUUCAACUCAACACCACAACAAGAUGAUUGUCCUGAUGUUUUCAUUAUGGUAAUUAUUCUCUCUGCAGGCUACGGAGCUGGUGGAGUCCUGCCAGGUGGAGGUAUGUUAAAGUCAUUCCCCAUUCAGUCUGAAAGGAGUUCACACACAUAAUGUUAAUUUUAUUAGAGCAUUAAUCACAGGCUUGGUUUCUCAGGUCUACGUUACCCAACUGGGGCUAGAGAAGGACUGGGCUCAGGGAAGCCGGGCAAACGUACCUUUGAGCAUUCUUUCAGCUGUCUGCAUUUUCUUUCUUAUCUGCUUCAGGCUCAUCCAUGUAAUUUCUCUCUCCUCCACUUAGGAUAUGGUGCUGGCCAAUUUGGAGCAGGAGGACGACGUCCUGGAGGAUAUGGUGCCGGACCAGGCGGAUACGGAGCCAGUCCUGGAGGAUAUGGCACUGGACCCGGUGGAUAUGGGGCCAGACCCGGUGGUUAUGGUGCUGGUUCAGGUGGUUAUGGGGCUGGAGCUGGUCCUGGUGGCUAUGGUGCUGGGCCAGGUGGAUAUGGUGCUGGGCAAGGUGGCUAUGGUGCUGGGCCAGGUGGCUACGGGACAGGGGCUGGGCCUGGAGGAUAUGGAUCCAAGCCAUACAAGACUGGAGGUGCUGGAGCCGGUGGUGUUGGUGGAGGUCUGGGUGGAGCUGGCAGCCUGGGUGCCAUAGGAGCCGGACCAGGAGGAGUGGGUGGAGGUCAAGGUGGAGCUGGACCAGGUGGAUAUAUACCAGGUGGAGUUGGUAGCAGAUACCCCACAGGUGCUGGAACUGGCACAGGAACUGGCACUGGAAAACCACCUAAAAGCUAUGGGAGAGCUGUUGGAGCUGGAGAUGGGCUUGGUGGUUAUGGUGGCGGAACAGUUGGUUAUGGACCAGGAGGAACCGGGGCCGGACUAGGUGGGGCUGGGGCCGGGCAAGGUGGAUAUGGUGCCGGACAUAAAGGUUAUGGGCCAGGUGGAGCAGGGCCGGGAGGAGCUGGGGUCAGACCAGGUGGAGCAGAGGCCGGACCUGGUGGCUAUGGUGCAGGGCCUGGAGGUUAUGGGCCUGGGGCUGGUCUUGGUCCUGGAGGUUAUGGGGCUGAACCUGGUGGCUAUGGACCAGGUAGAGCAGGGCCGGGAGGAGCUGGGGUCAGACCAGGUGGAGCCAGACCAGGUGGAGCAGAGGCAGGACCUGGUGGCUAUGGUGCUGGGCCUGGAGGUUAUGGGCCUGGGGCUGGUUUUGGUCCUGGCGUAGCUGGUCCUGGAGGUUAUGGGGCUGGACCUGGUGGCUAUGGACCACUUGGAGCUGGGGCUGGACAGGGAACUGGAGCUGGAGGGUAUGACGCAAAUGCAAAAGCUCGUAAAUAUGGUAUGCUAAGUGGUUCCCUUGGAGGAGGACAAGCAGCUGGCCAGGGAAGAGUGCCAGGAGGGGGAGCAAGGGCUGGGCUAGGUCAGGGAGGAGUGCCUGGAGGGGGAGCAGGUACUGGGCUAGGCCAUGGAGGAGUGCCUGGAUCUGCGCUUGGUAGUGGUCCGGGUGCUGGGUAUGGACCUGGCAUUGGAACCCAUGGAGGUUAUGGGCCAGGAG
rnacentral:lncRNA from 13 species